rnacentral:rRNA from 1 species
UACGGAGGGGGCGAGCGUUGUCCGAAGUUACUGGGCGUAAAGCGCGUGUAGGCGGGUUGCCAAGUCCGCUGUGAAAGCCCGAGGCUCAACCUCGGAGGGUCGGUGGAUACUGGCAGUCUUGAAGGUGCUAGGGGGAGAUGGAAUUACCGGUGUAGCGGUGAAAUGCGUAGAGAUCGGUAGGAACACCAGUGGCGAAGGCGGCUCUCUGGGACGGUACUGACGCUGAGACGCGAAAGCGUGGGGAGCGAACAGG